rnacentral:tRNA from 3 species
CGGGGAUUAGUUCAGAUGGCUAGAACGUACGCAUGGGGUGCGUAAGGUCGCUGGUUCGAGUCCAGUAUCCCCGACCA